rnacentral:lncRNA from 1 species
CGACCACAGAACCUCAGGCUGAUAGUUGUUCACUAACUCAUAGAGCUCUGGCAAUGUCUUAGAAACUGGAAAUUGCCGCUUAUGGAAUGAACUGGAUUCAUCCUCAAGGAAGAGCGGAUGAAACCAUUCAAAAAGGGAAUAGUACAGUCCAAAACGCAGAUUUUAAGGUCCUUAAGGGAUUGCAUCAUGUCUGCAGUGCUCCCUGCUAUGUCUCCAGCCAACUGCUAGCACAAGGUAUAAACAAUCAACAAUAGCAGCUCACAACUAAGAUGGGAACAUAUACAUGUACCAUGCUAAAUGAUGACUACCACUAUUUAUUAUGAAGAUCCUGAGAUGCACUCCUGCAAGAUUCUUAGUGUCUUCUAAACCAAAGCUUGAAGUCUACUGCUUAGUUUUAGGAUUGUUUAUUUUAUUAUAGUGUGAUUCUUAGAACACUGGUGAUCCACGUAUAGCAAAUCUCUUUUAGCCUGAUUAUUUAUUUAACCAGAGGGGCAAAAAAAAACCCCUACUAUUCCCAAUAGUUCUAUACUUUAAAAUAUACUCACCACGUGUAAUCUCAUCCUACUAUAAAAUCAUAAGCUUGGAUGUUCCUCUUUAAUAAAAUUACCCAAAAGUGAAUAGUCUACCAACUACAUAGAUAAGAAAAACAAUGUAUACCUUUAUACAAACACUUAGAAGUGGUUCGUUUUUAAGAGGAAUUUGUAUUUAGAUUACUGAUUGUUCCAUAUAAAAAUGUUAGAAGAGAUAUAUAA